GACGAACGCUGGCGGCGUGCUUAACACAUGCAAGUCGAGCGAGAAAGCUCCUUCGGGAGUGAGUACAGCGGCGAACGGGUGAGUAACACGUGGGCAACCUGCCCUAGGGAGCGGGACAACCCGAGGAAACUCGGGCUAAUACCGCAUGAUUCGUCGUGCCUCAAGGCGCGACGGGAAAUGGUAGCUUCGGCCUCCGCCCUGGGAGUGGCCCGGCGCCGCAUUAGCUUGUUGGUGAGGAACGGCUCACCAAGGCAACGAUGCGUAGCUGGUCUGAGAGGACGAUCAGCCACACUGGCACUGCGACACGGGCCAGACUCCUACGGGAGGCAGCAGUAAGGAAUAUUGCGCAAUGGGCGAAAGCCUGACGCAGCGACGCCGCGUGGGGGAGU
rnacentral:rRNA from 1 species